UUCCCUUCCCACCACCCCCUUUUUUUUUCAUUAAGAGACAUGCACUUUAGAAAACCUGCAAGAAGCCGACCAGACACUACAGGCCAGGCUGUUUAAUAAGGAACAGAAUGACCUUGGUAGACGAGGUCUCCUCUUGAGGACUCACUCCUUCUCCUGCCUCACACCCUGACCACUCCCCAAGCCUCUACCCUUCCGCAGAGCGGUUUGAGUCUCAGACACCACCUUCGCUGGACACAGAGGAUUCUGACUCCUUCUGGCCUCUCUCACCAAUUCUAAAAUCUGACGUGGACUGCAGUGUUGCCACUGAUAGUGUACAAGUACAGACCGCUGUAUCCCCGUUAAAAACAAUGAAUCAGAAGAGUCUUGUUUGGAGCCUGGGAAUUGUUAGCUUUAAAAAUCGUUCUAGUUCCAAGCACGUCUCCUUCAUCGCUGCUCACACCUGGCUCCUUGAAAUACUUUGUAUAAUUCGACCGUGGUAAGCAGAUUUUAAGGAUUGCUUCCAAGGGUACCCGGUAAUCAUCAAGAUACAG
rnacentral:lncRNA from 1 species